rnacentral:rRNA from 1 species
GAUGAACGCUGGCGGCGUGCUUAACACAUGCAAGUCGAACGAAGCACUUUAUUUGAUUUCCUUCGGGACUGAUUAUUUUGUGACUGAGUGGCGGACGGGUGAGUAACGCGUGGGUAACCUGCCUUGUACAGGGGGAUAACAGUUGGAAACGGCUGCUAAUACCGCAUAAGCGCACGGCAUCGCAUGAUGCAGUGUGAAAAACUCCGGUGGUAUAAGAUGGACCCGCGUUGGAUUAGCUAGUUGGUGAGGUAACGGCCCACCAAGGCGACGAUCCAUAGCCGACCUGAGAGGUGACCGGCCACAUUGGGACUGAGACACGGCCCAAACUCCUACGGGAGGCAGCAGUGGGGAAUAUUGCACAAUGGGCGAAAGCCUGAUGCAGCGACGCCGCGUGAGCGAAGAAGUAUUUCGGUAUGUAAAGCUCUAUCAGCAGGGAAGAUAAUGACGGUACCUGACUAAGAAGCACCGGCUAAAUACGUG